UACGUAGGGUGCAAGCGUUACUCGGAAUUACUGGGCGUAAAGCGUGCGCAGGCGGUUGUGCAAGACAGAUGUGAAAUCCCCGGGCUUAACCUGGGAACUGCAUUUGUGACUGCACGGCUAGAGUGUGUCAGAGGGGGGUAGAAUUCCACGUGUAGCAGUGAAAUGCGUAGAUAUGUGGAGGAAUACCGAUGGCGAAGGCAGCGCCCUGGGAUAACACUGACGCUCAUGCACGAAAGCGUGGGGAGCAAACAGG
rnacentral:rRNA from 1 species